rnacentral:rRNA from 1 species
UACGUAGGUGGCAAGCGUUAUCCGGAGUUACUGGGCGUAAAGCGUGCGUAGGCGGGUUGGUAAGUGGGUGGUGAAAGCGCUCGGCUAAACCGGGCGAGUGCCAUCCAGACUGCCAGUCUAGAGGCGGAUAGAGGGGUGCGGAAUUCCGGGUGUAGCGGUGAAAUGUGUAGAGAUCCGGAGGAACACCAGUGGUGCAAACGGCGCCCUGGGUCCGAACUGACGCUGAUGCACGAAAGCGUGGGGAGCGAACGGG